AGAGUUUGAUCCUGGCUCAGAUUGAACGCUGGCGCAUGCCUUACACAUGCAAGUCGAACGGCAGCACGGGUGCUUGCACCUGGUGGCGAGUGGCGAACGGGUGAGUAAUACAUCGGAACAUGUCCUGUAGUGGGGGAUAGCCCGGCGAAAGCCGGAUUAAUACCGCAUACGAUCUACGGAUGAAAGCGGGGGACCUUCGGGCCUCGCGCUAUAGGGUUGGCCGAUGGCUGAUUAGCUAGUUGGUGGGGUAAAGGCCUACCAAGGCGACGAUCAGUAGCUGGUCUGAGAGGACGACCAGCCACACUGGGACUGAGACACGGCCCAGACUCCUACGGGAGGCAGCAGUGGGGAAUUUUGGACAAUGGGCGAAAGCCUGAUCCAGCAAUGCCGCGUGUGUGAAGAAGGCCUUCGGGUUGUAAAGCACUUUUGUCCGGAAAGAAAUCCUUGACCCUAAUACGGUCGGGGGAUGACGGUACCGGAAGAAUAAGCACCGGCUAACUACGUGCCAGCAGCCGCGGUAAUACGUAGGGUGCGAGCGUUAAUCGGAAUUACUGGGCGUAAAGCGUGCGCAGGCGGUUUGCUAAGACCGAUGUGAAAUCCCCGGGCUCAACCUGGGAACUGCAUUGGUGACUGGCAGGCUAGAGUAUGGCAGAGGGGGGUAGAAUUCCACGUGUAGCAGUGAAAUGCGUAGAGAUGUGGAGGAAUACCGAUGGCGAAGGCAGCCCCCUGGGCCAAUACUGACGCUCAUGCACGAAAGCGUGGGGAGCAAACAGGAUUAGAUACCCUUGUAGUCC
rnacentral:rRNA from 1 species